rnacentral:misc_RNA from 1 species
AACUUUUAACAAUGGAUCUCUUGGCUCUCGCAUCGAUGAAGAACGCAGCGAAAUGCGAUAAGUAAUGUGAAUUGCAAAAUUCAGUGAAUCAUCGAAUCUUUGAACGCAUCUUGCGCUCCUUGGUAUUCCGAGGAGCAUGCCUGAUGGAGUGUCAUUUAAAUUCUCAACCACGACUGAUUCUUUUCUGGUGUGGCUUGGAUGUGUGGGUUGUCUUCUUGCAGGCUUUUCUGACAAUAGAAAGUCUGAUCUGCUGCAAUGCAUUAGUCGUAUCUGAGCAGAGGACUUACUAUAGGUGUGAUAAUGUAUCUAUGCGUUUUAGUAUGCUGUAUAAACGGAGUGCACUGCUUUUAUCAAAUGGAUAACCUAUAAGAUGAGUAGGGGCCCAAAUUUGAACAAUCUGACCUCAAAGAUGGUAGGACUAACCGCUUAACUUAAGCAUAUAAAUCUGCGGAGGCU